rnacentral:rRNA from 1 species
AACGGCUACCACAUCCAAGGAAGGCAGCAGGCGCGCAAAUUACCCAAUCCCGAUACGGGGAGGUAGUGACAAUAAAUAACAAUACAGGGCUUUAUAGUCUUGUAAUUGGAAUGAGUACAAUUUAAAUCUCUUAACGAGGAACAAUUGGAGGGCAAGUCUGGUGCCAGCAGCCGCGGUAAUUCCAGCUCCAAUAGCGUAUAUUAAAGUUGUUGCAGUUAAAAAGCUCGUAGUUGAAUUUUAGGCCUGGUUGGACGGUCUGCUCUAGGGUUUGUACUGUCCUGACUGGGUCUUACCUUCUGGUGAGCUGUCGUAUUGUUUACUCAGUGCGGCAGGGAACCAGGACUUUUACUUUGAAAAAAUUAGAGUGUUUAAAGCAGGCAUUCGCUUGAAUACAUUAGCAUGGAAUAAUAGAAUAGGACUUUGGUUCUAUUUUGUUGGUUUCUAGGACCGAAGUAAUGAUUAAUAGGGAUAGUUGGGGGCAUUAGUAUUUAAUUGUCAGAGGUGAAAUUCUUGGAUUUAUUAAAGACUAACUUCUGCGAAAGCAUUUGCCAAGGAUGUUUUCAUUAAUCAAGAACGAAAGUUAGGGGAUCGAAGACGAUCAGAUACCGUCGUAGUCUUAACCAUAAACUAUGCCGACUAGGGAUCAGGCAAGGAUAUUUUGACUUGUUUGGCACCUUAUGAGAAAUCAAAGUUUUUGGGUUCCGGGGGGAGUAUGGUCGCAAGGCUGAAA